GAUGAACGCUGGCGGCGUGCCUAAUACAUGCAAGUCGAGCGGACGGACGAGAAGCUUGCUUCUCUGAUGUUAGCGGCGGACGGGUGAGUAACACGUGGAUAACCUACCUAUAAGACUGGGAUAACUUCGGGAAACCGUAGAUAAUACCGGAUAAUAUUUUGAACCGCAUGGUUCAAAAGUGAAAGACGGUCAUGCUGUCACUUAUAGAUGGAUCCGCGCUGCAUUAGCUAGUUGGUAAGGUAACGGCUUACCAAGGCAACGAUGCAUAGCCGACCUGAGAGGGUGAUCGGCCACACUGGAACUGAGACACGGUCCAGACUCCUACGGGAGGCAGCAGUAGGGAAUCUUCCGCAAUGGGCGAAAGCCUGACGGAGCAACGCCGCGUGUGUGAUGAAGGUCUUCGGAUCGUAAAGCUCUGUUAUUAGGGAAGAACAUAUGUGUAAGUAACUGUGCACAUCUUGACGGUACCUAAUCAGAAAGCCCCGGCUAACUACGUG
rnacentral:rRNA from 1 species